rnacentral:rRNA from 1 species
GCAAGUCGAGCGGGGAAAGGUAGCUUGCUACUGGACCUAGCGGCGGACGGGUGAGUAAUGCUUAGGAAUCUGCCUAUUGGUGGGGGACAACAUCUCGAAAGGGAUGCUAAUACCGCAUACGUCCUACGGGAGAAAGCAGGGGAUCUUCGGACCUUGCGCUAAUAGAUGAGCCUAAGUCGGAUUAGCUAGUUGGUGGGGUAAAGGCCUACCAAGGCGACGAUCUGUAGCGGGUCUGAGAGGAUGAUCCGCCACACUGGGACUGAGACACGGCCCAGACUCCUACGGGAGGCAGCAGUGGGGAAUAUUGGACAAUGGGCGCAAGCCUGAUCCAGCCAUGCCGCGUGUGUGAAGAAGGCCUUAUGGUUGUAAAGCACUUUAAGCGAGGAGGAGGCUACUUUAGAUAAUACCUAGAGAUAGUGGACGUUACUCGCAGAAUAAGCACCGGCUAACUCUGUGCCAGCAGCCGCGGUAAUACAGAGGGUGCAAGCGUUAAUCGGAUUUACUGGGCGUAAAGCGCGCGUAGGCGGCUAAUUAAGUCAAAUGUGAAAUCCCCGAGCUUAACUUGGGAAUUGCAUUCGAUACUGGUUAGCUAGAGUGUGGGAGAGGAUGGUAGAAUUCCAGGUGUAGCGGUGAAAUGCGUAGAGAUCUGGAGGAAUACCGAUGGCGAAGGCAGCCAUCUGGCCUAACACUGACGCUGAGGUGCGAAAGCAUGGGGAGCAAACAGGAUUAGAUACCCUGGUAGUCCAUGCCGUAAACGAUGUCUACUAGCCGUUGGGGCCUUUGAGGCUUUAGUGGCGCAG